UUCCAGCUGACGAGUCCCAAAUGGGACGAAAAACGUGUCUUAGAU
rnacentral:hammerhead_ribozyme from 1 species